UGUCCCAGCCGCCGCGGUAAUACGGAGGGUGCAAGCGUUAAUCGGAAUAACUGGGCGUAAAGCGCACGCAGGCGGUUAGAUAAGUCAGAUGUGAAAUCCCCGGGCUCAACCUGGGAGCUGCAUUUGAUACUGGCAGACUAGAGUGCGGUAGAGGAGUAGUGGAAUUCCUCGGUGUAGCAGUGAAAUGCGUAGAGAUCGGGAGGAACAUCAGUUGCGAAGGCGGCUCUCUGGACCAGCACUGACACUGAGGCACGAAAGCGUGGGGAGCAAACAGGAUUAGAUACCCUGGUAGUCCACGCCCUAAACGAUGCGAACUGGACGUUGGGAUCAAUUGAGAUUUCAGCGUCGAAGCUAACGCGUUAAGUUCGCCGCCUGGGGAGUACGGUCGCAAGACUGAAACUCAAAGGAAUUGACGGGGGCCCGCACAAGCGG
rnacentral:rRNA from 1 species